rnacentral:sRNA from 1 species
UAUGUUAUGGCCGACGUCACCGAUAUG